rnacentral:rRNA from 1 species
UACGGAGGGUGCAAGCAUUAAUCGGAUUUAUUGGGCGUAAAGGGCGCGUAGGCGGAUAGGCCAGUCAGAUGUGAAAUCCUGGGGCUCAACCUCAGAACAGCAUUUGAAACUACCUAUCUAGAGGAUAAGCGGGGAAAACAGAAUUCCACAAGUAGCGGUGAAAUGCGUAGAUAUGUGGAAGAAUACCGGUGGCGAAGGCGGUUUUCUAGCUUAUUCCUGACGCUAAUGCGCGAAAGCAAGGGGAUCAAACAGG